GACGAACGCUGGCGGCGUGCUUAACACAUGCAAGUCGUACGGUAAGGCCCUUUCGGGGGUACACGAGUGGCGAACGGGUGCGUAACACGUGAGUAACCUGCCCACAACUUUGGGAUAACGCUAGGAAACUGGUGCUAAUACUGGAUAUGUGCUCCUGCUGCAUGGUGGGGGUUGGAAAGCUCCGGCGGUUGUGGAUGGACUCGCGGCCUAUCAGCUUGUUGGUGGGGUAGUGGCCUACCAAGGCGGCGACGGGUAGCCGGCCUGAGAGGGUGACCGGCCACAUUGGGACUGAGAUACGGCCCAGACUCCUACGGGAGGCAGCAGUGGGGAAUAUUGCACAAUGGGCGCAAGCCUGAUGCAGCAACGCCGCGUGCGGGAUGACGGACUUCGGGUUGUAAACCGAUUUCAGCAGGGACGAAGCUUUUUGUGACGGUACCUGCAGAAGAAGCACCGGCUAACUACGUG
rnacentral:rRNA from 1 species